rnacentral:rRNA from 1 species
UACGUAGGGGGCGAGCGUUGUCCGGAUUUAUUGGGCGUAAAGAGCUCGUAGGCGGUUUGGCAAGUCGGGGGUGAAAACUCCGGGCUCAACUCGGAGACGCCACUCGAUACUGCCAUGACUUGAGUCCGGUAGGGGAGUGCGGAAUUCCUGGUGUAGCGGUGAAAUGCGCAGAUAUCAGGAGGAACACCGGUGGCGAAGGCGGCAUCCUGGACCAACACUGACACUGAGGAGCGAAAGCCAGGGGAGCAAACGGG